rnacentral:rRNA from 1 species
CUACGGGUCGCAGCAGUGAGGAAUAUUGCACAAUGGGGGGAACCCUGAUGCAGCAACGCCGCGUGGAGGAUGACGCAUUUCGGUGUGUAAACUCCUUUUAUAUGUCAAGAAAAUGACGGUAGCAUAUGAAUAAGCACCGGCUAACUCCGUGCCAGCAGCCGCGGUAAUACGGAGGGUGCAAGCGUUACUCGGAAUCACUGGGCGUAAAGGACGCGUAGGCGGGCUUGUAAGUCAGGUGUGAAAUCCUACAGCUUAACUGUAGAACUGCACUUGAAACUACGAGCCUAGAGUAUGGGAGGGGCAGAUGGAGUUAGUGGUGUAGGGGUAACAUCCGUAGAUAUCACUAGGAAUACCUAAAGCGAAGGCGAUCUGCUGGAACAUAACUGACGCUAAGGCGUGAAAGCGUGGGGAGCAAACAGGAUUAGAUACCCCUGUAGUC